GACGAACGCUGGCGGCGUGCUUAACACAUGCAAGUCGAACGGAAAGGCCCUGCUUUUGUGGGGUGCUCGAGUGGCGAACGGGUGAGUAACACGUGAGUAGCCUGCCCUUGACUUUGGGAUAACUUCAGGAAACUGGGGCUAAUACCGGAUAGGAGCUCCUGCUGCAUGGUGGGGGUUGGAAAGUUUCGGCGGUUGGGGAUGGACUCGCGGCUUAUCAGCUUGUUGGUGGGGUAGUGGCUUACCAAGGCUUUGACGGGUAGCCGGCCUGAGAGGGUGACCGGCCACAUUGGGACUGAGAUACGGCCCAGACUCCUACGGGGGGCAGCAGUGGGGAAUAUUGCACAAUGGGCGGAAGCCUGAUGCAGCAACGCCGCGUGCGGGAUGACGGCCUUCGGGUUGUAAACCGCUUUCGCCUGUGACGAAGCGUGAGUGACGGUAAUGGGUAAAGAAGCACCGGCUAACUACGUGCCAGCGGCCGCGGUGAUACGUAGGGUGCGAGCGUUGUCCGGAUUUAUUGGGCGUAAAGGGCUCGUAGGUGGUUGAUCGCGUCGGAAGUGUAAUCUUGGGGCUUAACCCUGAGCGUGCUUUCGAUACGGGUUGACUUGAGGAAGGUAGGGGAGAAUGGAAUUCCUGGUGGAGCGGUGGAAUGCGCAGAUAUCAGGAGGAACACCAGUGGCGAAGGCGGUUCUCUGGGCCUUUCCUGACGCUGAGGAGCGAAAGCGUGGGGAGCGAACAGGCUUAGAUACCCUGGUAGUCCACGCUGUAAACGGUGGGUACUAGGUGUGGGGUCCAUUCCACGGGUUCCGUGCCGUAGCUAACGCUUUAAGUACCCCGCCUGGGGAGUACGGCCGCAAGGCUAAAACUCAAAGGAAUUGACGGGGCCCCGCACAAGCGGCGGAGCAUGCGGAUUAAUUCGAUGCAACGCGUAGAACCUUACCUGGGUUUGACAUGGAUCGGGAGUGCUCAGAGAUGGGUGUGCCUCUUUUGGGGUCUGUUCACAGGUGGUGCAUGGCUGUCGUCAGCUCGUGUCGUGAGAUGUUGGGUUAAGUCCCGCAACGAGCGCAACCCUUGUUCACUGUUGCCAGCACGUUAUGGUGGGGACUCAGUGGAGACCGCCGGGGUCAACUCGGAGGAAGGUGGGGAUGACGUCAAGUCACCAUGCCCCUUAUGUCCAGGGCUUCACGCAUGCUACAAUGGCUGGUACAGAGAGUGGCGAGCCUGUGAGGGUGAGCGAAUCUCGGAAAGCCGGUCUCAGUUCGGAUUGGGGUCUGCAACUCGACCUCAUGAAGUCGGAGUCGCUAGUAAUCGCAGAUCAGCAACGCUGCGGUGAAUACGUUCCCGGGGCU
rnacentral:rRNA from 1 species